rnacentral:rRNA from 1 species
GACGAACGCUGGCGGCGUGCUUAACACAUGCAAGCCGAACGGUGAUCUUGAGAGCUUGCUCUUGGGUGAUCAGUGGCGAACGGGUGAGUAACACGUGAGUAACCUGCCCCUGACUCUGGAAUAACUUCGGGAAACCGAAGCUAAUACCGGAUAUGACACGAACGGGCAUCCGUAUCGUGUGGAAAGUUUUUCGGUUGGGGAUGGACUCGCGGCCUAUCAGCUUGUUGGUGAGGUAAAGGCUCACCAAGGCGACGAUCAGUAGCUGGUCUGAGAGGAUGACCAGCCACAUUGGGACUGAGACACGGCCCAAACUCCUACGGGAGGCAGCAGUGGGGAAUAUUGGACAAUGGGCGCAAGCCUGAUCCAGCCAUGCCGCGUGAGUGAUGAAGGCCCUAGGGUUGUAAAGCUCUUUCGCCAGGGACGAUAAUGACGGUACCUGGAUAAGAAGCCCCGGCUAACUUCGUGCCAGCCGCCGCGGUAAGAC